UCAAGGAUGAAUUUGAGAAUGAAAAGAACAUGCUUGGUGGUUCUUUAGGUAACAGAGCAGCUGAAGAUUUGAGACAGAGAGUAAUAAAACAUAACAUCCUUGUUGUCUCAAAGUAUUACUGAAGGAUUACCUUGGCGAGACUUGCUGAGCUGCUUUGUCUCAUUGUUCAGGUGACUUCCAAAAACGAUCAAGCACAAGGCUGAUGCUUCAAAAUCAUAUAUAUUCCCUCAUGUUUUAGAA